AGUGAACGCUGGCGGUAGGCCUAAUACAUGCAAGUCGAACGGCAGCACAGUAAGAGCUUGCUCUUACGGGUGGCGAGUGGCGGACGGGUGAGGAAUACAUCGGAAUUUACUUUUUCGUGGGGGGUAAAGUAGGGAAACUUACGCUAAUACCGCAUACGACCUAAGGGUGAAAGCAGGGGAUAUUCGGACCUUGCGCGAUUGAAUGAGCCGAUGUCGGAUUAGCUAGUUGGCGGGGUAAAGGCCCACCAAGGCGACGAUCCGUAGCUGGUCUGAGAGGAUGAACAGCCACACGGGAAGUGAGACACGGUCCAGACUCCGACAGGAGGCAGCGGUGGGGAAUAUUGGGCGAUGGACGCAAGCCUGAUCCAGCCAUACCGCGGGGGUGAAGAAGGCCUUCGGGUGGGAAAGCCCUUUUGUUGGGAAAGAAAAGCAGCAGGUUAAUACCCCGCUGUUCUGACGGUACCCAAAGAAUAAGCACCGGCUAACUUCGUG
rnacentral:rRNA from 1 species